GAUAAAAGUUUAUUGUCCACAAAAGACAGACAAUACAUAACAAUGUAACCAUCCUAAUCUUAAGCAUAUUAAUUCAGACAAUAAGCCUCACUGAGAGCAACGGGACUUCCUUUUGAGUAAAUAAAAUAGACCCAUAAUUAAUUUACUAGGAUAGUCUCCCUGAAAUCAAUAGUAUUUAAGCUAGUCAUGUUUCCUUUAGGCCCACUGAUUUCAGUUAGUCUCUUCUUAGUAUAAGUAAACCAGGAUGCAACCCUUUAUUCCAGUACUAUAGCUAUUGAUUCUUCACAGGAAAAUUUUAUUUUGCACACCAUAAAAUUAACCCAAAUUAAUCUGUGUAGUUCACUGGUUUUCUUUAAAGACCCAAUUAGAACAAUAAAGGGCUGCAUCUUAAAAUUCCAUGACCAGAUUUUUCUUAUCUGUCUUUUGUUUUACUAAUUUUCCAGUCCCACCCCUUUCCUAUUCACCAGAACAAUUUAUCAGAUGUUCUUUCUUCCUUCCUGACUCUGAAUGUCAGUUCUGAUUACUUCCAAAGGUACCCAUUUCAGUUCUGUUUUCUUUUUCAGACUUUUUUUUUUUUUUGGAUAAAGGUCACUGUCUGUCUAAACCAGUUCUCAAAACUUUUGCAAUCCUGCAAUUUCCUAAAAUGGUAAAAAUGAGUCGGUGGAACCCUGACAGUUACAGAUCAGUGCUACUCUUCCAUACUGAGCCCAGGUAUCUUCCACAUUCAAAUUGCCUUCACUCCUCCUGAGCACCUGUCCAGCUUCUUUAAUCAGGUUUCUCCUGAGUAGCCCUAUUGGGCCCAGCUGCUCUUCAGGCCAGGACCUCUAUGCCUUUCUGCAAACCCAGCCAUUCUUGAGCUCCUGAGUGGGGUCAGAGUUGUGGGAGCCCAGGGAAGAAAUGGUAGGGCCAGUUGCUGACUCAGAAUCAUGGCCAGCAACACAGGGUCUGCUUUCCAGGCUAUUUCCUCCUCCUCUUCCUUGCCUGAGGAAGGCUUUUGAAACCAGACCAUGAUAGCGGGUGGGGCCCACCUAAAUGAGUGGAACACUACAAUAUGCUAGAAUUUAUUAAUAUGCAAAACAACAUAAUCUCCUGAAUAUCCAUCUAAAACAAGCCUAGAACACCCCCCUCUACACACUUGAUGCCCUCAAAACCUGGUGAGCUCAGCUUCCCGGUCUCCCAUUAGCGCUACUGAGAGAAUCUUGAAGCUGCCGUCCCAAAACCCGGGGCGGGAGAGGACCAGCCCGGUCUACCACUUUGUUCCUCCGCUCACCACGCGAGGAAUCCGGCUGCGGAUCACGGGUUGGGCUCUGCAAACAUGGAGUAGAGCAAAGAUCUCGAUCAAAGGACCACAGAAGUCCAAGAAUGUCUGUCAAGUUGGCUGUGCUUCUGGAUCUUUCUACCAGAUACCUGUUCUUGGAAGGAGAGCUUAUUCAUAUGUGAAAUGUGACAGGAUUAAAGACGCCAUACGUGAUUCUACAAGAGCUGUGCAUUUAGAUCCUUCAAAUCCUG